UGGGGAAUAUUGGGCAAUGGGCGCAAGCCUGACCCAGCCAUGCCGCGUGAGUGAUGAAGGCCUUCGGGUCGUAAAGCUCUGUGGGGAGGGAAGAAACAGCCUAUGGCCAACAUCCAUGGGCCUUGACGGUACCUCCUUAGCAAGCACCGGCUAACUCUGUGCCAGCAGCCGCGGUAAUACAGAGGGUGCAAACGUUGCUCGGAAUCAUUGGGCGUAAAGCGCACGUAGGCGGCGCGUUAAGUCGGAUGUGAAAGCCCUGGGCUCAACCCAGGAAGUGCAUACGAAACUGGCGCGCUUGAGUAUGGAAGAGGGUCGCGGAAUUCCCGGUGUAGAGGUGAAAUUCGUAGAUAUCGGGAGGAACACCAGUGGCGAAGGCGGCGACCUGGGCCAAUACUGACGCUGAGGUGCGAAAGCGUGGGGAGCAAACAGGAUUAGAUACCCCCGUAGUCC
rnacentral:rRNA from 1 species